UACGGGGGAUGCAAGCGUUAUCCGGAAUUAUUGGGCGUAAAGGGUCCUGAGGUGGCUAGCCAAGUCUAUUGUGAAAUAUCAGGGCUUAACCCUGAACAUGCGGUGGAAACUAGAAAGGCUUGAGUACAGUAGGGGCGGAGGGAAUUUCCGGUGGAGCGGUGGAAAUGCAUAGAUAUCGGGAAGAGCACCAACGGCGAAAGCACUCCGGCUGGGCUGAUACUGACACUGACAGACGAAAGCUAGGGUAGCGAAUGGG
rnacentral:rRNA from 1 species